GGAUGGAUACAGCUCAGUGGUAAGAGUGCAUGCUUACCAUGCACAAGGUCCUGGGUUCAAUCCCCAAUCCUUCUA
rnacentral:tRNA from 1 species